AGGUCACAUGAAUCAGCAGUGGCAGCUGAUCCACUGGCAAACACCAUUUAUGAUCGGCAACAGAAGUUGAUCCAGAAGAAACAACAAGACUCUGCCAAUUGUCCCAACUCCACAGAAGAGGCAGGAAGCUGCAGGAACACCCCCAGAAGCUCUUUGGUGCUGUUUCUUUUUAUAUAGUCCAGACAGAUGAAUACCAGCCAAGAAUGGCAAGAUUUACAGUGAACAAGGUGGCGGUGGUACAAGACUUUAAUCCCACACUCCCCGGGGAAAAAAUGAUCAAACAAGUAUAAAUUCAUAUGGGAUCCUGUCAGGAAUAAUACAAACCUGGAUAAAUAAGCAAAUCUCCAGUUCCAAUAGCCUGAAACUCUUUUGAUCUUAGCUGGAGCUUCAGGCAUGUCUCUAGUCCCUCUAGAACGUUCAAAAAUGUCACUGCUUCUGAAUUCAAGACUGAAUCGGAGAGGUCAAAUCUCCAUCUUAAAGAAAAGAAAAACGCCUGAGAACUUGACCUGCAGCAGAACUCAAACUGCACCAACACUACCAGACCUCAUGUCUUGUCCUUGGCCAGUUACUCUCUAGCUACUUCUAGCAACAGUUAAGCAGAGAUUAGUUUGAUUGUUCCAGAUGUACUUUCAAACUGUUUGUGAUCAAAUACAGUCUUGCUUCAGAACACCCACCUGUUGGUUUAUAGUCAUUCUAUUAGAUGCUUGCCAGACUGGACGCCCCCUCCCCUCGCUCUUAUUUUCCUAUAAAACUUGUUUGUCCUACUGAAGGUUCAGGGCUGCUCCGCCUUCCCUUCCUGCCCUGCUAUGUUAGGGUUUGUUUGGAGGAGAGUCCAAGCCCGAGCUUGUAAUAAAG